ensembl:snoRNA
AAGGUAGAAAAUCUUUUUGUCUGCUUACCUGAAUGUGUUUCUGCAGAAAUUUAGAAAAUGCUGGCAAUAGUAAUGCCAUGUUAUGACCCUUAAAGACAUUGAAGUCCUUAAGGUCCCUGAAAGUGGCUAUAGGA